rnacentral:rRNA from 1 species
AGAGUUUGAUCAUGGCUCAGAUUGAACGCUGGCGGCAGGCCUAACACAUGCAAGUCGAACGGUAACAGGAAGCAGCUUGCUGCUUCGCUGACGAGUGGCGGACGGGUGAGUAAUGUCUGGGAAACUGCCUGAUGGAGGGGGAUAACUACUGGAAACGGUGGCUAAUACCGCAUAACGUCGCAAGACCAAAGAGGGGGACCUUCGGGCCUCUUGCCAUCAGAUGUGCCCAGAUGGGAUUAGCUAGUUGGUGAGGUAAUGGCUCACCAAGGCGACGAUCCCUAGCUGGUCUGAGAGGAUGACCAGCCACACUGGAACUGAGACACGGUCCAGACUCCUACGGGAGGCAGCAGUGGGGAAUAUUGCACAAUGGGCGCAAGCCUGAUGCAGCCAUGCCGCGUGUAUGAAGAAGGCCUUCGGGUUGUAAAGUACUUUCAGCGGGGAGGAAGGUGUUGUGGUUAAUAACCGCAGCAAUUGACGUUACCCGCAGAAGAAGCACCGGCUAACUCCGUGCCAGCAGCCGCGGUAAUACGGAGGGUGCAAGCGUUAAUCGGAAUUACUGGGCGUAAAGCGCACGCAGGCGGUCUGUCAAGUCGGAUGUGAAAUCCCCGGGCUCAACCUGGGAACUGCAUUCGAAACUGGCAGGCUUGAGUCUUGUAGAGGGGGGUAGAAUUCCAGGUGUAGCGGUGAAAUGCGUAGAGAUCUGGAGGAAUACCGGUGGCGAAGGCGGCCCCCUGGACAAAGACUGACGCUCAGGUGCGAAAGCGUGGGGAGCAAACAGGAUUAGAUACCCUGGUAGUCCACGCCGUAAACGAUGUCUACUUGGAGGUUGUGCCCUUGAGGCGUGGCUUCCGGAGCUAACGCGUUAAGUAGACCGCCUGGGGAGUACGGCCGCAAGGUUAAAACUCAAAUGAAUUGACGGGGGCCCGCACAAGCGGUGGAGCAUGUGGUUUAAUUCGAUGCAACGCGAAGAACCUUACCUGGUCUUGACAUCCACAGAACUUUCCAGAGAUGGAUUGGUGCCUUCGGGAACUGUGAGACAGGUGCUGCAUGGCUGUCGUCAGCUCGUGUUGUGAAAUGUUGGGUUAAGUCCCGCAACGAGCGCAACCCUUAUCCUUUGUUGCCAGCGGUCCGGCCGGGAACUCAAAGGAGACUGCCAGUGAUAAACUGGAGGAAGGUGGGGAUGACGUCAAGUCAUCAUGGCCCUUACGACCAGGGCUACACACGUGCUACAAUGGCGCAUACAAAGAGAAGCGACCUCGCGAGAGCAAGCGGACCUCAUAAAGUGCGUCGUAGUCCGGAUUGGAGUCUGCAACUCGACUCCAUGAAGUCGGAAUCGCUAGUAAUCGUGGAUCAGAAUGCCACGGUGAAUACGUUCCCGGGCCUUGUACACACCGCCCGUCACACCAUGGGAGUGGGUUGCAAAAGAAGUAGGUAGCUUAACCUUCGGGAGGGCGCUUACCACUUUGUGAUUCAUGACUGGGGUGAAGUCGUAACAAGGUAACCGUAGGGGAACCUGCGGGUUGGAUCACCU